UGGGGAAUUUUGGACAAUGGGCGAAAGCCUGAUCCAGCAAUGCCGCGUGCAGGAAGAAGGCCUUCGGGUUGUAAACUGCUUUUGUACGGAACGAAAAGGCUCUUUCUAAUAAAGAGGGCCCAUGACGGUACCGUAAGAAUAAGCACCGGCUAACUACGUGCCAGCAGCCGCGGUAAUACGUAGGGUGCGAGCGUUAAUCGGAAUUACUGGGCGUAAAGCGUGCGCAGGCGGUUCUAUAAGACAGAUGUGAAAUCCCCGGGCUCAACCUGGGAAUGGCAUUUGUGACUGUAGAGCUAGAGUACGGUAGAGGGGGAUGGAAUUCCGCGUGUAGCAGUGAAAUGCGUAGAUAUGCGGAGGAACACCGAUGGCGAAGGCAAUCCCCUGGACCUGUACUGACGCUCAUGCACGAAAGCGUGGGGAGCAAACAGGAUUAGAUACCCAGGUAGUCCCUGAGCGGGCUGGCAAGGCGCAU
rnacentral:rRNA from 1 species